rnacentral:rRNA from 1 species
GACGAACGCUGGCGGCGUGCCUAAUACAUGCAAGUAGAACGCUGAAGGAGGAGCUUGCUCUUCUGGAUGAGUUGCGAACGGGUGAGUAACGCGUAGGUAACCUGCCUGGUAGCGGGGGAUAACUAUUGGAAACGAUAGCUAAUACCGCAUAAGAGUAGAUGUUGCAUGACAUUUACUUAAAAGGUGCAAUUGCAUCACUACCAGAUGGACCUGCGUUGUAUUAGCUAGUUGGUGGGGUAACGGCUUACCAAGGCGACGAUACAUAGCCGACCUGAGAGGGGGAUCGGCCACACUGGGACUGAGACAAGGCCCAGACUCCUACGGGAGGCAGCAGUAGGGAAUCUUCGGCAAUGGACGGAAGUCUGACCGAGCAACGCCGCGUGAGUGAAGAAGGUUGUCGGAUCGUAAAGCUCUGUUGUAAGAGAAGAACGAGUGUGAGAGUGGAAAGUUCACACUGUGACGGUAUCUUACCAGAAAGGGACGGCUAACUACGUG